rnacentral:rRNA from 1 species
UGUCAGCAGCCGCGGUAAUACAGAGGGUGCAAGCGUUAAUCGGAAUUACUGGGCGUAAAGGGUCUGUAGGCGGAUUAUUAAGUCGGAUGUGAAAUCCCUGGGCUCAACCUGGGAACUGCAUUCGAUACUGGUAAUCUAGAGUGUGCAAGAGGAUGGGGGAAUUCCUGGUGUAGCAGUGAAAUGCGUAGAUAUCAGGAGGAACAUCAAUGGCGAAGGCACCUUUCUGGGGCAACACUGACGCUGAGAGACGAAAGCGUGGGGAGCAAACAGGAUUAGAUACCCUGGUAGUCCACGCCCUAAACGAUGUCAACUAAUUGUUCGAAGUCGCUUAGAUUUUGAGUAAUGAAGCUAACGCGAUAAGUUGACCGCCUGGGGAGUACGGCCGCAAGGUUGAAACUUAAAGGAAUUGACGG